UACGGGGGGGAGCAAGCGUUGUUCGGAUUUACUGGGCGUAAAGGGCGCGUAGGCGGCCUCUGCAAGUCGACUGUGAAAUCUCCGGGCUUAACCCGGAACGGUCAGCCGAUACUGCAGGGCUAGAGUGCAGAAGGGGCAACCGGAAUUCUCGGUGUAGCGGUGAAAUGCGUAGAUAUCGAGAGGAACACCAGUGGCGAAGGCGGGUCCCUGGACAACACCUGACACUGAGGCACGAAAGCUAGGGGAGCAAACAGG
rnacentral:rRNA from 1 species